UGAAGAUACUUAAAACUAACUAUUUGGGGGCCAGCAAGAAGAGGUCCCAAUCUGGGAUAUGCUUUCCUCAUGUUAAAGGGAGAAAAAGAUAUAUUGCUAAUGCAGGUCCUGUAAGCAGAUGAGCAGAUGAACAGAAGAGCAGAAGAGCAGCACAGCCGAGAAGGAAUGAAUGGCACAGCAGAGAAGGAGAGAAGAGAAGGAGCAUCUGAACGUUGAGAGUUCAACUAGAAAUGGUCAGAGAGGAGACUGAUCAUGGGAUAGCCAAACUCCAGGAGAAGAUUAUGUUCCCACUCCAUCCCCUUUCCAGAUCCCCAAUCCAUCCCUCUGAGAGCCACCUCUACCACUCGAUAAAACCCCUGCAUUUACCAUCC
rnacentral:lncRNA from 10 species